rnacentral:rRNA from 1 species
GGCCCUCGGCGAACUGCUCAGUAACACGUGGAUAAUUUGCCCUUAGGUGGAGGAUAACCUCGGGAAACUGAGAAUAAUACUCCAUAGAUCUUAGAGGCUGGAAUGCACUAAGAUUGAAAACUCCGGUGCCUAAGGAUAAGUCUGCGGACUAUCAGGUUGUAGUCAGGGUAAAGACCUGACUAGCCUACGACGGAUACGGGUUGUGAGAGCAAUAACCCGGAGACGAUAUCUGAGACAUGAUAUCGGGCCCUACGGGGCGCAGCAGGCGCGAAACCUUCACAAUGUGCGAAAGCGCGAUGAGGGAAUCCCAAGUGCUUGCUCGUAAGAGUAAGCUGUUUUUAUGUCUAAAAAGCAUGAAGAGUAAGGGCUGGGUAAGACGGGUGCCAGCCGCCGCGGUAAUACCUGCAGCUCAAGUGGUGAUCGCUAUUAUUGGGCCUAAAACGUUCGUAGCCGGCUUGGUAAAUGCCUGGGUAAAUCGUGUAGCUUAACUAUACGAAUUCCGGGUAGACUGCUAAACUUGAGACCGGGAGAGGCUAGAGGUACUCCUGGGGUAGAGGUGAAAUUCUGUAAUCCUGGGG